AUGAUGAUAAAAACACACAGCCAACCCAGUCCCAACUCUUCCCUCUCCUCAGACACAGCCCACCCAGUCUUCCCUCUCCUCAGACACACAGCCAACCCAGUCUUCCCUCUCCGAGACACCAGCCACCAGUCUCCUCUACCAACAGACACACAGCCAACCCCAGUCUUCCCUCUCCCAACAGACACACAGCGCACCCAGUCUUCCUCUCCUCAACAGACACACAGCCAACCCCAGUCUUCCCUCUCCUCCAACAGACACACAGCAACCCCAGUCUUCCCCACCUCAACACACACAGCCACCCAGUCUUCCUCUCCUCAACAGACACAAGCAGCAACCCCAGUCUUCCCUCUCCUCAACAGACACACAGCCCCAACCAGUCUUCCCUCUCCUCAACAGACACACGCCAACCAGUUUCCCUCUCCUCAACAGACCACCACAGCCACCCCAGUCUUCCCUCUCCUCAACAGACCCACAGCCAACCCCAGUCUUCCCUCUCCUCAACAGACCCACAGCCAACCCAGUCUUCCCUCUCCUCAACAGACCCACAGCCAACCCCAGUCUUCCCUCUUCUCAACAGACCCACAGCCAACCCCAGUCUUCCCUCUCCUCAACAGACACACAGCCAACCCAGUCUUCCUCUCCUCAACAGAGACACCACAGCCAAACCCAGUCUUCCCUCUCCCAACAGACCCACAGCCAACCCCAGUCUUCCCUCUCCUCAACAGACACCAGCCAACACCCAGUCUUCCCUCUCCUCAACAGAACACCAGCCACCCCAGUCUCCCUCUCCUCAACACAGACACACAGCCAACCCCAGUCUUCCCCUCCUCAACAGACAACAGCCAACCCACGUUUCCUCUCCUCAACCAACACCACAGCCAACCCAGUCUUCCCUCUCCUCAACAGACCCACAGCCACCCAGUCUUCCCUCCUCCGAACACCCACAGCAACCAGUCUUCCCUCUCCUCAACAGACCCACAGCCAACCAGUCUUCCCUCUUCCUCAACAACCCACAGCCAACCCCGUCUUCCCUCUCCUCAACAACCCACAGCCAACCCAGUCUUCCCUCUCCUCAACAGACACACAGCCAACCCGUCUUCCCUCUCCUCAACAGACACACAGCCAACCCCGUCUUCCCUCUCCUCAACAGACCCACGCCAACCCACGUCUUCCCUCUCCUCAACAACACCAGCCAACCCGUCUCCUCUCCUCACAGACCCACAGCCAACCCAGUCUUCCCUCCUCACCGCACACACACAGCCAACCCCAGUCUUCCCUCUCCUCAACAGACACACAGCCAACCCAGUCUCCCUCUCCUCCACAGACACCAGCCAACCCCAGUCUUCCCUCUCCUCCGCAACAGACAACCCAACCAGUCUUCCUCUCCCAACAGACACACAGCCAACCCCAGUCUUCCCUCGUCCUCAACAGACACACAGCCAACCCCAGUCUUCCCUCUCCUCAACAGACACACAGCCAACCCCAGUCUUCCCUCUCCUCAACAGACACACAGCCAACGCCCGUCUCCCUUAA
rnacentral:lncRNA from 1 species